AGGACGAACGCUGGCGGCGUGCUUAACACAUGCAAGUCGAGCGGAAAGGCCCUUCGGGGUACUCGAGCGGCGAACGGGUGAGUAACACGUGAGUAACCUGCCCUAGGCUUUGGGAUAACCCUCGGAAACGGGGGCUAAUACCGGAUAUGACUACUGGCCGCAUGGUUGGUGGUGGAAAGUUUUUCGGCCUGGGAUGGGCUCGCGGCCUAUCAGCUUGUUGGUGGGGUGAUGGCCUACCAAGGCGACGACGGGUAGCCGGCCUGAGAGGGCGACCGGCCACACUGGGACUGAGACACGGCCCAGACUCCUACGGGAGGCAGCUUUGGGGAAUAUUGCACAAUGGGCGGAAGCCUGAUGCAGCGACGCCGCGUGAGGGAUGACGGCCUUCGGGUUGUAAACCUCUUUCAGCAGGGACGAAGCGUAAGUGACGGUACCUGCAGAAGAAGCGCCGGCCAACUACGUGCCAGCAGCCGCGGUAAGACGUAGGGCGCGAGCGUUGUCCGGAUUUAUUGGGCGUACUGAGCUCGUAGGCGGCUUGUCGCGUCGACUGUGAAAACCCGCGGCUCAACGGCGGGCCUGCGGUCGAUACGGGCAGGCUAGAGUUCGGUAGGGGAGACUGGAAUUCCUGGUGUAGCGGUGAAAUGCGCAGAUAUCAGGAGGAACACCGGUGGCGAAGGCGGGUCUCUGGGCCGAUACUGACGCUGAGGAGCGAAAG
rnacentral:rRNA from 1 species